CGAAAGCCUGACGGAGCAACGCCGCGUGAGGGAUGAAGGCCUCUGGGCUGUAAACCUCUUUUCUCAAGGAAGAAGAUCUGACGGUACUUGAGGAAUAAGCCACGGCUAAUUCCGUGCCAGCAGCCGCGGUAAUACGGGAGUGGCAAGCGUUAUCCGGAAUUAUUGGGCGUAAAGCGUCCGCAGGCGGUUCUGUAAGUCUGCCGUUAAGGCGUGGAGCUUAACUCCAUUUCGGCGGUGGAAACUGCAGGACUUGAGUGUGGUAGGGGCAGAGGGAAUUCCCGGUGUAGCGGUGAAAUGCGUAGAUAUCGGGAAGAACACCAGUGGCGAAAGCGCUCUGCUGGGCCAUAACUGACGCUCAUGGACGAAAGCCAGGGGAGCG
rnacentral:rRNA from 1 species